GAACACUAAUAUACAAGAAGUGAAAACUCCUAAGUAAUUUGUGGCAACACCAAAUGUCAUUUAUAUGCCGCCAUAUUUGGUUGUGGAAGUAGAUAUUAAAUGGCGGGAAUUUUGAAUUCACAGGCGUACAUACAUACAUACUUUUAGUUGUUUUCACCUUCAUUGUAAAUUUACAGCUUCUACCAUUAAUAUUGAAAACAGAUUUGGAAUUCAUGAUAGAAGCUGUAAAUUUACAUUUCAUAAAAAAUAACAUCAAGAGGAGCACAUUUAUAUAUCAGUCAGCCUAAUGCAAAUACAUAUUGAGGAUGAAAUAUAUCAAACGAUCAACAAAUAGAAUUGUUGAUCGUAAAACCUGUUUCCCAUAUAAAAUCUCAGUAUAAGCAGAGGAAAUGGAAAUCAAGUAACAUCCACAUAUAUGUAUGAUACAAAACAACCACGAUAAAAACCUCAGCAAAAAUCUGUCCCUAUAAAAGCUUAGUUAUAUUGAAUUUAUUCACAUAAUGAGCUAUUUAAAUUAUCAGGCCGGCUCUUUCA